AAGUCGUAACAAGGUUUCCGUAGGUGAACCUGCGGAAGGAUCAUUAACACAAUACUUUCUAUUAUCAAUAACCUACGUGCACUGUCUGAAGCCUUCGGUUUUGGGCGUCGAGUCGACUAGAUUAUGGUCUGGUUCGGUCUAGUUUGCUGUUAAGUUAGCCCGUCAAAAUGACUCUCUUCGGAGUGCGCUUUGGCGAUGGUUAACGACCCAUCAUUCGACAGGUCAAGCGGCCUCAGCCAUGGCUGUGACUUCUUUUUUUUCUUUAACCUCUUGUAUUUUUGUACUGAUUUGGGCUGUUUGCGAUUGAGAGGAGCAAUCCUUUCUCCGACGGCUUGUGUGGAAUGCAUUUUGUCAUUCCUUCACUAACCAAAACACAACUCUUAACAGUGGAUAUCUCGGUUCUC
rnacentral:misc_RNA from 1 species